CGCCUGUUUAUCAAAAACAUCGCCUCUUGACAAAUAUAAGAGGUCCAGCCUGCCCAGUGACCUAGUUCAACGGCCGCGGUAUCCUAACCGUGCGAAGGUAGCGUAAUCACUUGUUCUUUAAAUGAGGACUAGUAUGAAUGGCAUCACGAGGGUUACACUGUCUCCUUUUUUUAAUCAGUGAAACUAAUUUUCCCGUGAAGAAGCGGGAAUUUUUUUAUAAGACGAGAAGACCCUAUGGAGCUUUAAACAAUUUAACACUUGCUGCCCAAGAUAAUCCUCCCAGGAGCACAAUAUACAGCAUAGCAUUAUGAUUAAUAGUUUUUGAUUGGGGUGAUCGCGGAGCAAAAAAUAACCUCCAUGCCGAAAGGGCUCCUCCCUGAGCACAAAGCCACAACUUUAAGCACUAAAAAAUUAACGUUUAUUGACCCAAUAUUUUGAUCAACGAACCAAGUUACCCUAGGGAUAACAGCGCAAUCCACUUCAAGAGCCCCUAUCGACAAGUGGGUUUACGACCUCGAUGUUGGAUCAGGGUAUCCCAGUGGUGCAGCCGCUACUAACGGUUCGUUUGUUCAACGAUCAAAACCCU
rnacentral:rRNA from 1 species